rnacentral:tRNA from 1 species
UCUAAUGUGACAGAAUUGAUGUAAUGAACUUAAGAUUCAUCCAUAAAUAAAAUUAUUUCUUUAGAA